UACGUAGGUGGCAAGCGUUGUCCGGAUUUACUGGGCGUAAAGAGCUCGUAGGUGGUUUGUCGCGUUGUUCGUGAAAACUCACAGCUCAACUGUGGGCGUGCGGGCGAUACGGGCAGACUAGAGUACUGCAGGGGAGACUGGAAUUCCUGGUGUAGCGGUGGAAUGCGCAGAUAUCAGGAGGAACACCGGUGGCGAAGGCGGGUCUCUGGGCAGUAACUGACGCUGAGGAGCGAAAGCGUGGGGAGCGAACAGG
rnacentral:rRNA from 1 species